rnacentral:rRNA from 1 species
UACGGGGGGGGCAAGCGUUGUUCGGAAUUACUGGGCGUAAAGGGCUCGUAGGUGGCCAACUAAGUCAUACGUGAAAUCCCUCGGCUUAACCGGGGAACUGCGUCUGAUACUGGAUGGCUUGAGGUUGGGAGAGGGAUGCGGAAUUCCAGGUGUAGUGGUGAAAUGCGUAGAUAUCUGGAGGAACACCGGUGGCGAAGGCGGCAUCCUGGACCAAUUCUGACACUGAGGAGCGAAAGCCAGGGGAGCAAACGGG